CUGCACAUUACAUUGUCUCAUUCUCUGUUUGUGAGAGUGUAGAUAUUUCUGAUGUGCCACAUAAUCCUUGGAGGUUAAUUAGCAGUGAAAGCUGUAUGGUGCGUUUACUGCCAGUCUCCUUCGUACAGUU
ensembl:snoRNA